CCUGGCUGAUUUGCAUGAACAGCAGGUCUCUCCAGCAAGGGGAUAAGAGAGGCCCGUGAGGAACUUUGGCCAGCCUCUGGUCUUGGCAGCGGCAUUGGGGUGCCUCCACCAUGGCCUGGACCCCUCUCCUCCUCAGUGUCCUGGCAUACUACACAGGCUCCGUGACCUCAAACAGGCUGACUCAGCCCCCUUCCAUUUCAGUGGCCCUGGGAGAGAUGGCAAGGAUCACCUGUGAGGGAAACAACAUCGGAAAUACAUAUGUUUCCUGGUACCAGCAGAAGCCGAACCAGGUGCCCCUGAUGAUUAUUUAUUGGGAUAGCAACCGGCCCUCAGGGAUCCCUGACCGAUUCUCUGGCUCUAACUCUGGGAACACAGCCACCCUGACCGUCAGCGGGGCCUGGGCCGAGGACGAGGCUGACUAUUACUGUCUGUCUGCUGACAGUAGUAGUAAUGCUCACAGUGAUACAGGCAGAUGAGGAAGUGACACACAA